CCUGGGGCUACAAUUCAUUGCUAGUCAAAGCCUGUUUCCAGAGAUGCGCAUCAGAGCCAGCUCUUCAGUUCUGGGAGCAAUGAGUCAAUGCCUGAUUCCACAGAUGCCUAUCAGCUGCCCUUACAUGCACUAUGAAGAUACUGAAGAUGUCUUCAAUUGAAGGACAACUAUAAGCACAAGCAAGGAGGGGUAUCUACAUGGCCAGCGCAAGGACAACUAUAAUG